AUCUUGAGCAAAAGAGAGAAGAUCCGAAUCAUCUUCUCUGUAACGAGGUACGUAGUACGUACUGUACUUCGUAUUAUAAUUUUCGUGACCUUAAAGUAACAACAAAAUAAUUGAACGUAAAAUAUCAGCUGAUGUUUAUUAAAAUUUUCCUAAUUACAUACGGCUCAUUAACAGUCACAUAACCCAGUGCCAGGAAAAACGUUCUAAUUUAUUGCAAAAAUUGUUUAUAUUAGCUUGAAAUCGCUCAUUAUAGGUAUUAGGACAUAUUAUAUUUCUAUUUUUGGGUUGUGUUUCAAAAGUGAUGAUUAAACGAGCGAACGCGUUAUCACGCUCCGUUAUCUAUGAGAUAUGGCAUUAAUGCAAAUACACUUGUUAUUCGGAUAAACUGAAUUCCUGACCCCCUUAUUGGUACUAAAUAUUUGUACUGCGUUGAUUUGAUAGUAGAAUCGAAGCUUUAAAGGCAAAAAUUAAAUUGUUGUGAUGGGUUGGAACAAAAAACGAAAAUAUUUCAGUUAGUGUGAUUUCGCAGCAUGGUAUUUAUGUAAUUAUGGCAACAAAAACUUAUUUGGAUAAACGAAGUCUCUGGGUAGCCAUAGUUACAGCAAUUCUAAUUUUGAUAAUAGUAACUGUAGGAGUAGCUGCCAGAUUGCUCUUGGACGAGUACACAUCGAGACUAGUAAUCAUUACCUUAAUUAUCUUGUUAUGUAUCAUAGGCCUAAGUUCUUUAUCGUAUUUGGAAGUCCGUAAAAGAACUAUAAGGAAGGAAAACGAGAAUUUAACGGUGAAAAAUGGUAAUUUGUAUCAAAAGGUUUAUCAGCCUAGUGCUCCGAAUGAUCCGAACUGGGAAUAUACCAACAGGGUGACUUAUCCUGCCAAGUAGUUCAAUGAAAUAAGUUAUGGAAUAUUUGUUAAGAAUUAUUUUUAGUUUAAAUUCUUUGUAUAUAAUAAAAGGUUAUGUAUGAACCAAAA